rnacentral:rRNA from 1 species
UACGUAGGGGGCAAGCGUUGUCCGGAUUUAUUGGGCGUAAAGAGCUCGUAGGCGGUUUGGUAAGUCGGGUGUGAAAUCUCCACGCUCAACGUGGAGGGGCCACUCGAUACUGCCAUGACUCGAGUCCGAGAGAGGUGAGUGGAAUUUCCAGUGUAGAGGUGAAAUUCGUAGAUAUUGGAAAGAACACCAGUGGCGAAGGCGGCUCACUGGCUCGGUACUGACGCUGAGGUGCGACAGCGUGGGGAGCAAACAGG